GAUGAACGCUGGCGGCGUGCCUAAUACAUGCAAGUCGAGCGAACGGACGAGAAGCUUGCUUCUCUGAUGUUAGCGGCGGACGGGUGAGUAACACGUGGAUAACCUACCUAUAAGACUAGGAUAACUACGGGAAACCGUAGCUAAUACCGGAUAAUAUUUUGAACCGCAUGGUUCAAAAGUGAAAGACGGUCUUGCGGUCACUAAUAGAUGGAUCCGCGCUGCAUUAGCUAGUUGGUAAGGUAACGGCUUACCAAGGCAACGAUGCAUAGCCGACCUGAGAGGGUGACCGGCCACACUGGAACUGAGACACGGUCCAGACUCCUACGGGAGGCAGCAGUAGGGAAUCUUCCGCAAUGGGCGCAAGCCUGACGCAGCAACGCCGCGUGAGUGAUGAAGGUCUUCGGAUCGUAAACCUCUGUUAUUAGGGAAGAACAUAUGUGUAAGUAACUGUGCGCAUCUUGACGGUACCUAAUCAGAAAGCCACGGCUAACUACGUG
rnacentral:rRNA from 1 species